ensembl:snoRNA
ACAGCAUCUUAAACAGGUCGUGGUCUCUGAGCAGUAGACCAGGAUUUGGUAGCUGGUGCUAAGAUCAGUUCUCUUCUGCAACACUCCCGCUAGCAACUUUUGGGCUUUCUGGGAUUACUAUGGGAGAGAGACAAAC